UACGAAGGGGGGCUAGCGUUGCUCGGAAUCACUGGGCGUAAAGCGCACGUAGGCGGAUUGUUAAGUCAGGGGUGAAAUCCUGGAGUUCAACUCCAGAACUGCCUUUGAUACUGGCGAUCUUGAGUCCGGGAGAGGUGAGUGGAACUGCGAGUGUAGAGGUGAAAUUCGUAGAUAUUCGCAAGAACACCAGUGGCGAAGGCGGCUCACUGGCCCGGUACUGACGCUGAGGUGCGAAAGCGUGGGGAGCAAACAGGG
rnacentral:rRNA from 1 species